rnacentral:rRNA from 1 species
GUGGGGAAUAUUGCACAAUGGGGGAAACCCUGAUGCAGCAACGCCGCGUGAGUGAUGAAGGCCUUCGGGUUGUAAAGCUCUGUCUUCAGGGACGAUAAUGACGGUACCUGAGGAGGAAGCCACGGCUAACUACGUGCCAGCAGCCGCGGUAAUACGUAGGUGGCGAGCGUUAUCCGGAUUUACUGGGCGUAAAGGAUGCGUAGGUGGAUUUUUAAGUGAGAUGUGAAAUACCCGGGCUCAACCUGGGAACUGCAUUUCAAACUGGAAGUCUAGAGUGCAGGAGAGGAAAGCGGAAUUCCUAGUGUAGCGGUGAAAUGCGUAGAGAUUAGGAAGAACACCAGUGGCGAAGGCGGCUUUCUGGACUGUAACUGACACUGAGGCAUGAAAGCGUGGGGAGCAAACAGGAUUAGAAACCCCUGUAGUCC